GUGAGAAGUUGGUCGGCAAGACUGCAUUGGACGUCAAGUUGUACAUUGAUGGUGUGUCUUCGUCAGGAGUUGAGUUGCAUGUCCGGCCGUCGUUCCAAUUUACUUCGGCUCCUGCAGAAUUUGAUAAUCUCCUUGGCGUGAUGUGCAUUGGGUGGCUUGGGUUUGGUGGCAUGAUAUGCUUUGGCUGGCUGGGGAGGGCUUGUAUAUAUAUAUGUGUAUAUAUAUGUAUAUAUAGAAAGUCUAUUAAGGACCCAGGAUGAAGAAUAAGUAAUUCUUCAACCCAGUCAUCCGACCGAGCAACAGUGUGGCUUAACGACUCCUCAACCGAUAAAAAUAUUAUUCCACGUCUACCGCCGUAAAUUUACCUUGCUUACGUUGAUGCGACGGUUGACUGGUCCUUUGGAGCUAGCCCACGCUACGUCUCCACCCGUACCCAUGUCUUUUCUAAUCAGGUGCGAGCGGUUCACGUUCCUCUCUCCGCCCCUCCUCGCUGGCGAUUGCGGUUUGCGGAGGCGGCGGCAGCCAUGUCGAUGGCGCCGGAGGGACAAUCUUGAAGCAAGGGCUACCCCUCUCUCUCCUGCGUGGAUUAUCCCCCCUUUCCCUCUUCAUGCGGUAGCGACCAGGAGGCGAACUGGGCUGUGCAUCGAUUUGGUGCGAGCUUGGCGGCGGCAACGAUCUUUUCCGGCGUCCCUCUCCAUCGUCAGCGGUCUUCUCGUUGGGUUCUGGAUUUUUGAGGAGCAGGGUAAAGAAAGGGUAAAAAGACCAAGAAAUUAAGGAGAUGAAAGAGAAGAGAUGAGCUUGCAUACUGAAGGGGGUGAUGGAGAAAACCUUAGCUCGUCAGUGGGAUCAAAUCAAGGAGGUGGGGAUCACGCAGGAGGAGAAGCUGCGGAGGAGGAACAACACCAGAGUAUCUUCUUAGAUCCAGCCAAACGUGAUAGCCCUGUUUCUUGUCUAUCUUCUCUGUUUUAGAUGAACUGUUAUUCCUUAUCUCUUCUUUAGAGCUCCACUGCUAAAAAAAAAUAGAACCAGUUCCGGCCAUUUUCACUUGGAAUGGAUUUGGGAUGCUGCUACUGUAUUUAGGAUGGUAUCCCAUCAUUCUGAAUCUGCUUCAGAACUGAACACUAGUGACGCUUCAGAACUUUCUGUAGGUGCAGACCUGAAGACUAGUGAGACACAGUAGCAACUAGCGAAAAUGACAAGUGCAGAAUUUUGUUUUCCUUUUACAAUUCAUCGUACAUUUUGUAGCUCUUUGUCACCUCUGUGAAAGCACUGCAUACGCCUUCAGUACACUAACCUUUCUCAGGUUUGCUUCUCACAUUUUUACAAUGUGCUUAAGGAGAAUGAUGAAUGGUUAAGCACCUAUUUAUUUCUAGUUUUGAUUUGUUGAUGCACACUCAGCACAAGAAUAAAACUGUACAUGCUCCAAUUUUACGUUGAUGUAAACAAGCGAUGCAAUCUACUCCCUCCGUUCCCAAAUGUAAGUCUUUUAAGAUACUCCAACAAGUGACUAUAUACGGAGCAAAAUGAGCGAAUAUGCACUCUAAAAUAUGUCUACAUACAUCCGUAUCUUAUAGUCUAUUUGAAAUGUCUAAAAAGACUUACAUUUAGGAACGGAGGGAGUACGUUGCAUGCAAGUUUGGAAAAUGUAUUAGUUGGACAUGCUCCUAUUUUUUGUUGGCCCUAUAUCUCUUAUCUUUGUCUCUCAGAAUUCUUACAAACAGGAUUAGGACCUCUCAGUGUAUUAGUUUAACUGUUGAGGGUCCCAAUCCUGUUUCUAUUUUGGUUCGUCUUGUUUUAGCUCCUACUGACCUUGUUCAUGGAUACAACAACCGAGAAGCGCAAGAUGAUUUUGCAAGUUUUGGUUCAGUUGACACUUAAGUGUUUUUGUUACAGAUUUGUAGCUCCUCUUUCUUUUAAUCUUCUUUCUAAAAAGUAACUCCACUGAUUAGUAGGAUCAAUAACAAACAUAAUAAAGUUGCCACACUUGCAUUCUUGGAAGAUCCAUUGAAGGAACAUGGCAAAUCUCACCAAUUGAUGUUUGUUUUAAAGAAAAAUAGCUCGACACCAUCACAUUUGCAUGGGCAUGUCUAGGUUUUUCCUCUCAAGGAAACGCACUCAUUCUCUUCUGAGUUUGAGUUUAAUCUGUACUGUACUAUUUCCAUUAGCACUAUGCAUUUCAGUUUUGGACACUCUAAUGGCAACAUUAGGUAUGCUUAGCAAAACUAAUCAUUCUGGGAUCAACACAUCAUAUGACGAUACAUGGGCUUUAGUUACCUCAUAGAACUGUGUACAUGUUUAUUGAUCCAAAAAAGAUGUCUUGUAAAACGUGAUCUUGAUGAUGGCAUUACCCUUUACUCUACCUUCGCACAAUAUGUCCAUGUAUAUUUAAUGCGAUCUUUCACUAUAGAACAAUAGUAGUUGUUGUAAGUUUUUCCUAAAGUUUCUGCCAAAAUCAUCAUGUUAGAGCCACUGGUUUCUGGAAACUGUAAUGGGGAAGAACCCAUUUAUCAAUUUCAGAACCAGGAUUUUUGGGUUGCAUAUUUUAUAAUGUGUUCGAUUGUUUGGAACUAGUGGAAUAAAAUUGCAUAGCAAUAUUAAAUUUUACAUGUCCUGUGUUGCCUCGUUGACCUCUAGUUAGGUAGCAGUUCUAUGUUGGUAUUGAGCUGGUCAACAGAAAGUGCAUAGGCGUCCUGCGGCAUCUACCACAACGCAAGCAUAGCUGCGACCUUGGUAUCUAGCCUCUUGCAAAUUUUCUUAAGCUUGUAGUUUGGGUUCUUGCAAUUUUUCUCCAGCUUGUAGUUUGGGUGGAUGCUAGGUGUUAAUUUUGUUGGCAUGUUCUUCUACUGUUUCGUCAUUCUCAUGGAGGAACAAAUAUCCAAUGUCAAAAGGAAGGUAUUUGUUUCCAACUAGCGUUGUUUCUUGAUGUGGUUUAUAUCAAUUGAAGCGCGGUUCAUUCUCUAGUUCAGUUUUUGUUUUUGGAGUGAUCCACGUGAGGCCGCACCAUAUAACUAAGCUCUAGUUAUUGUCAUCAAUCAUGAUGAACUCCAUGGAAACAUAAUGUUUUCUCCUCUUUGCAGAAUUCCCCUAGUGUGUAUCGACUUUAGGGCUAUUGUGUAAUGGACUUGUGUAAUUGCCUUAUGAAAGUCACUGCUUGAAUUUGCCUUGCAUUUUUUGUAAGGUAUGGAAGAAAGUUUUUUUGGUAGAAUGUACAUGAUGAGCAAUUCUGGUUCAUCGGUUGCACCAUAUGCAAAUACGCAUGUAUUUUUUUAGCUGACCUUAUCUCACUUGAUCCACGUUUUGUGAUUUUAUCAGGAAAAUGGCAAAUAGUGAAUCUGCUAUAAUCAAGGAAGGAAGAAGCUGUUUGUAAGCGACUUGGAGACUAAGUAUCUUGAGACACUCAACAUGUGCUAGUUUUAGUUAUAUAGUACCAAUGCAUGGGAGAUAUACUAGUUGAUAGUCAUUACGUUGCACGAAUCUGUAGAAAACAGUUUUAUAUUGCAAACUUUUAUGGGCACACGAGGCCAUGUGAGAAGUUCUUAUGCCGUCUGAUUUUGGUCUUGCUGAUUAUUCUUAUUUCGUGUGAUUUUACAAUAAGCUAUAGUGAUGCAUAUUUCAUUUUUUUUCUUGUCCUGACGUGUGAAAUACAGGUUUUAUAAAUAAAUAAACGACAGUUUGCUUA